rnacentral:rRNA from 1 species
UUGCACCGGUUAAACUUAGUGGCGGACGGGUGAGUAACGCGUGGAUAACCUGCCUCACACAGGGGGACAACAGCUGGAAACGGCUGCUAAUACCGCAUAACACAAGCAAUUCGCAUGAAUAGCUUGUCAAAGAUUUUAUCGGUGUGAGAUGGACCCGCGUCUGAUUAGCUAGUUGGUGAGAUAACAGCCCACCAAGGCGACGAUCAGUAGCCGACCUGAGAGGGUGACCGGCCACAUUGGGACUGAGACACGGCCCAGACUCC